rnacentral:rRNA from 1 species
ACUGAACGCUGGCGGCAUGCCUUACACAUGCAAGUCGAACGGCAGCACGGGAGCAAUCCGGUGGCGAGUGGCGAACGGGUGAGUAAAGUAUCGGAACGUGCCCAGUCGUGGGGGAUAACGUAGCGAAAGUUACGCUAAUGCCGCAUACGAUCUAUGGAUGAAAGCGGGGGAUCGCAAGACCUCGCGCGAUUGGAGCGGCCGAUAUCAGAUUAGGUAGUUGGUGGGGUAAAGGCUCACCAAGCCGACGAUCUGUAGCUGGUCUGAGAGGACGACCAGCCACACUGGGACUGAGACACGGCCCAGACUCCUACGGGAGGCAGCAGUGGGGAAUUUUGGAGAAUGGGCGCAAGCCUGAUCCAGCCAUGCCGCGUGCAGGAUGAAGGCCUUCGGGUUGUAAACUGUUUUUGUACGGAACGAAAAGGUUUGACUUAAUACGUUGGACUCAUGACGGUACCGUAAGAAUAAGCACCGGCUAACUACGUGCCAGCCGCCGCCGUAA